GUGGGCGUGCCGGAGUGGUUAUCGGGCAUGACUAGAAAUAUUGUGGGCUUUGCCUGCGUAGGUAUGAAUCCUGUCGCUCACG
rnacentral:tRNA from 1 species